AAUAAUUUAAUUAUUAAUUUUUAUUUUAAUUAUUUUAAUCAAAAUAAUUUUAUUUAUAUUUAUUUUAAGUAUUUAUUAAAGAAAAAAAUUUUUUAAUUAUAGUUUAUUAGUAUUGUAAAAGAAAUUUAUAUAUAAAUUUAUUUUUUAAAAGUAAAAUUAAUUUUUUGUACCUUGUGUAUCAGGGUUUAUUAAAUAAUUAUUAUAAAUUUUAAUUUUCCCGAUUUUAAGAGAGAGAAAAAAUUAUUUUUUUUAUUGUUAAAAAAAUAUUUAAAAUUGUUUUUUAGAAAUGAAAAGUUAUUCGUUCUUAAAUAUAUCUGGUUUAUUUAGAAAUAAAUUUAAUUUAGUUUAUUAAAUUUUAUUAAUUUAUUUUUUUAAAUUAAUAUAUUUUUUAAAUAGUAAUUAAAGGGAUAAGCUUUUAAUUAAAUUUCUAUAAUUUUAAAAUAUGGUAUAAAAAUAUAUAGAUUUAGAAAUAUUUUUUGUUAAUAGUUUGUUAUAAUUAAUUUUUAUUAGUAUAUUAUUUAAAAUCAGUUUAGAUUUUUAUAAAUAAAUUUUAUUUAAUAAUUUAAUAUAAGAUAUAAUGAUAAAAUUAGUAUUUAAUAUAGUUGUUUGAGUAAUUUAUAUAAAUUAGAUUAUUUAAAGGAAUUCGGCAAUUUUUUUAUUCGCCUGUUUAACAAAAACAUGUCCUUUAGAAUUAGUAAUUUAAGGUCUAGCCUGCCCACUGAAAAAUUUUAAAUGGCCGCAGUAAAUUGACUGUGCAAAGGUAGCAUAAUCAUUAGUUUUUUAAUUAAAAGCUUGUAUGAAUGGUUUGACGAAAUAAAAUCUGUCUCUAAGUAAUAAAAAGAAUUUAAUUUUUAAGUUAAAAAGCUUAAAUAUUAAUAAAAGACGAGAAGACCCUAUAGAUCUUUAUAUUAGAAUUUUUAAUUAUAUUUAAGAUUUUUUACAUAAUUAUUUAUUUUAUUAUUAUAUUGGGGUAAUAGGAAGAUUUAAGUAAUUCUUUUUAAUUUUAAACAAUAAUUAUUGAUUGAUUGAUCCUUUAUUAAAGAUAAUAAGAUUAAGUUACCUUAGGGAUAACAGCGUAAUUUUUUUAAAGAGUUCAUAUCGAUAAAAAAGUUUGCGACCUCGAUGUUGGAUUAAAAAUUAUUCCAGGUGUAGAAGUUUGGAAAUUUUGGUCUGUUCGACCAUUAAAUUUUUACAUGAUCUGAGUUCAGACCGGCGUAAGCCAGGUCGGUUUCUAUCUUUAUUGAAUUAUUAUAUUUUAGUACGAAAGGACCAAAUAUAGAAUAUAUUAAUAUUUAAUUUUUGAAUAAUAUU
rnacentral:rRNA from 1 species